rnacentral:lncRNA from 1 species
AGAAGUGGCUGCGAUUCUAGGAUUCCCACCUUCCGAUCUCUGGAUCUCUGUCCGUUCUGUCCCGGUCAGGUUGCUUGUGAUAGGCUGAUAAAAGUUUAUUUAUGUAAAAUCUUGUUAAUGAGAAAGUUUUGGAAGCAGGAGUAGAAAAGCAUUUGGGGAGAAAGUAAGGAAAAGAACUCAGAAUUCGGAUUGAAGGCAAAUCGUUUAAGGUCUUAGAUCUUUCAUCAGUAAAUGAGCUAGGGUUCUUAAAUGCCAGUGCUUUACUCUUACAUUGUGGUAAGGGAUGUGUUGGCGGCAGUAUACAUUUGGAAACAGUUGUCAAUAGAGGUUUGCUUUAGCAAGCUUUUUAGCAAAUCUCUUUCUCUCUCUCUCUUUUUUUUAUUUGUAGGGCUACACCCGUGGCAUAUGGAAGUUCCCAGUCUAGGCGUUGAGUUGGAUCUGAGCUAUGUCUGUGACUUACACCACAGCUCGCUGCAACGGGGUAUCUUUAACCCACUGAAGAGGCCAGGGAUGGAACCUGCAUCCUCAUGGAGCCCAGUCGGGUUCAAAGGUUCUUUACCACUGAGCCAGAUGGGGAACUCCAGCAAAUCUCUUUUAAAUGAGCUUUUAUGGCAUAUGGAAAAUUUGUAAGUUGUCCAGAAAAUGGGUGUAGAGUAAGGUAAAUGAUAGGUGAGAAAGAACGAAAGAGUAUUUUGAAAAAUAAAAUACAAGCUUAAAUUUUCAUAAUGUUUAUAUGUAUGCUAACACUGAAGAUGGUUUAUAAUGAAGAACAGAUGAAGUCAUCCUCCUUGUAGUCUUUCAAGUUAAACUGCAAAGAUUCACAAUGGAAGAUAGAACUACGGAGAAAAGUUUGGCUUUGCUGGGAAUGGUGCCAAUACUGGAAGACAAAAAUAAGGUAGAAAGCAAAGUAUUAUGGAUGAAUUCCUCUGUGGAUUUGUUGAUAUCCUGUAACUUAUAUACUAAGGUGUAAAAGUGAAAAAUACUCUGCUUUACAUCCUGUGUUAUGUGAUAAGGGAAAGGAAACAGAAUGUUAGUUUUAUAUAUAUUGAUAUAUAAUCUAAGCAAAUUAUUACACAUUCAUAAUGAAAUAAGCAGGAAAUGCUUAUGUCAGUUGCAGCCCAGUUCCUAUAACUAGUCAUGUGGUUAUAAUUGGUAUUUAUAACAACCUUUUCCAACUAUCUAUUCUGUCUUCUCUUUUCUGUCAACAAGUGCCUCAGAUGGUUGUGGUUCUUUGCAUGGUGGGGUGACCCAAACCUUCAUUCCUGAAGAGUUUCAACCAUUAGUAGUCCUGCCUGGAUUGAUUAUUGUAGAUUUCCAUUGACUUUAAUAACACAGCAUGGUCAUACUAAGAGAUGCAUUAAUCUCUUCUAUUCCAGACUGAAUGAAUUCCUUAUCUCCAUUGUGGAGUUGCUGUCCAAUUUCUUCUUGAUAGUCUUCUUGAUAGUCAGGAUGAGUCACCCCUGCCGGCAGAGUAACUUCCUUCUUUACUUGUUGAUUCCUAGGUAUGAGGAGUCCACGGUGGCCUAGUGGCAUUCUUAACUCUCAUUUCAGUGGAAUCAUUGUUGCAUUUCCUCGUGGUAGCAUCUUUCUUUUGGAACUAAGACUUCUAAGCUAGCAGAGCGUAAGGUCACAGGAACAGAGAGCAGGCAUUUUGCUAAUAAGUCACUAGUAGAAAUAGUGGUACCAUUCCCAUUUCUACUGCUUGUUUUCUAGACCUAUGAAUCCUGGCCAUGAGAAACAGCACUAUGUAUCAAAUGCUGAUUCAGAGCAUACACAGCAUUGUGAGCACUUUGCCCCACUUCUGCAAGUUCUAGUCACCUAGCUAGCACUGUAACUGAGCCUUCAAAAGGCAGUUCUACCGUUCUGUUAAGCCACCUGCUUCAGGGUGACGGGAAACAUGGUAAGAUCAGUGUAAGUUCCAUGAGUGUAGGUCCACUACCUCACUUCAUUUGCUGUGAAGUGAGUUCCUUGAUCAGAAACAAUGUCAUGUAGAGUACUAAGAUGGUUAAUAAAGUAUUCUGUAAGUUCACAGGUGGUAGUUUUGGCAGAAGCAUUGUGUACAGGGAAGGCAAAUUUAUAUCCAAAGUAAAUGUUUAUUCAGUAAGAACAAAACCUUACCCCCUUCUCUGAUGGAAUCAGCCAGUGUGAUCAACCUGCCACCAGGUAGCUGGCUAGUACCUGAGGAAUGAUGCCACAUCAGGGACUCAGUGUUGGUCCCUGCUGUUGGGCUCUCAGCAGUGGCCAUAGCUAGGUUGGCCUUGGUGAGUGGAAGUCCAUGUUGCUGGACCCACACAUAAUCUCUGUCCCUGUCAUCAUGGCAACUUUGUUCAUGAGCACACUGAGUGAUGCCGGGGUGGGAGGUGCUGGGGGUAAAGUGAUUGGCCACAGACCAGGAAUCAGUACAUAACCAUAUGUCUCAUCAUUUCUCCUUCCAAUCAAAGUGAACAACCACAUCUACUGCUGUUAGUCUGCUCAUCAGAAGGAUUUCCUUCACCACUGUCCUUCAGGGAUGUCCCAGAAUGAAGGGCACUAGUGUUAUGGCCUUCCACUUUUGGGUGGUGCUUGCAUAUUGUCCAAAAUCAUCUGUACACCAGGGAAGGUAUGGAGGGUGAGAGACAAGAAAAAGAUGUUAGGAUCAGUGAAUUUGCAGGUUCUGGUGGGGUCCAGCUUCCAGUAGAGGUGGUGAGCUGGAAAAAUAGGAGAUGGUAGUCAGAAAAUGAGAUACCUCAAAUUGAGAUGAUGAGAGGCAAUACACUCAUCCUUUAGUACCUUCAAGGAUUGGUUUCAGGACCCCUCAGAUAAUCAAAAUCCACGGAUGCUCAGUCCCUCAUAUAAAAUAGCCUAUGAUUUGCAUGUAUCCUAUGCAUGGCCUCCUAUAUGCUUUGAAUCAAUGUACAGUUGACCCUUAAGCAAUGUGGAAAUUAGGGGUACUGACCCUUUGUGCAGUGGAAUAUCCAUGUAUAACUUUACAGCCCUCUGUAUCUUUGGUUCCACCUUCACAGAUUCAACCAACCAUGGAUCAUGUAGUACCAUAGUACUUAGUGAAAAGAAAAAAAAAAAAAAAAA